GCCUGGGUAGCUCAGUUGGUUAAGCAUCUGACUUCAGCUUAGUUCAUGAUCUCACAGUUUGUGGGUUCGAACCCCACAUCAGGCC
rnacentral:tRNA from 1 species